ACGGAAGGCAGCAGUGAGGAAUAUUGGUCAAUGGACGGAAGUCUGAACCAGCCAUGCCGCGUGCAGGAAUAAGGCCCUAUGGGUCGUAAACUGCUUUUGCUGCGGAGCAAUAAGGGCCACGUGCUGGUCCGAUGAGAGUACGCAGCGAAUAAGCAUCGGCUAACUCCGUGCCAGCAGCCGCGGUAGUACGGAGGAUGCAAGCGUUAUCCGGAUUUAUUGGGUUUAAAGGGUGCGUAGGCUGUGCGUUAAGUCAGGGGUGAAAUGCUCUCGCUCAACGAGGGAAGUGCCUUUGAUACUGGCGCGCUGGAGUGCGGAUGCCGUUGGAGGAAUGAGUGGUGUAGCGGUGAAAUGCUUAGAUAUCACUCAGAACACCGAUUGCGAAGGCAUCUGACGAAUCCGUAACUGACGCUGAGGCACGAAAGCGUGGGGAUAGAACAGGAUUAGAUACCCUGGUA
rnacentral:rRNA from 1 species